UAGGCUGCUGCAUGCCAUUGGGCCUCUGUAGGUUCUGCACAUAGCAGCAGCCUUUAUCAGUGCAGCGUUUGCAGGGUGCUGCUUAAACUAUAGAGUGGGGCAGACACAGCAGCUCUUUUGGAUCUGAAAAGUGUUUCUGAUUUUGAAUUGAGAGUCUUUGGAGAAGCCUAAUGAUUAGUGUUGUCAAGGUCAAAAAUGCUAAAAAGAGAGCGGGAUCUUUUAGUCUUGGCUACAGCACUCACGGCAUGAACAGUGCUCCAUGAGGACGUCUUCAUUCGGGAUUUGCUUGUUUGUUUGCUUGUUUUUUCACUUCUGACCCUGACGUCUCUGGCUGCAGAUUUGAUGUGGUUCCUCCCUAACCUGUGCACCCUGUUAAUAGGCAAAUUGGACCACCUCAGGCCUCCCUGGAAGACACAGCUUCUUACCACAUGGCAGAGAACAGGCCGGUGUUAACCUUGUCUGUAGAGAGCCAGAAGAUGCUGAACCGUGCGUUUCCCAUUUCUUCUCCUAAAGUGUACUGAAGAUUGCUUUCCAGGCACUCUUAACAAGCUGAAUGGUUCCUUGUGUAGCCUCAUGAGAUCAAAUAAGAAGGAAUUGUCAUCUCCAUGUAUUCUGGAUCUCUUCAACCUAAUCACAUGCUCUGCUAAUACUGGCGGACAGGGAAGGGCCUGCAAGAGGAAGAGAAUGAGGAUGUUCUUGACAUACGAGCACUGUACAUUCACUUAGCAUUUGCCAGGGUAGCUUUUUUUCUCUACUACCGAUACAACUAGUAGGUAAAUAAAUUCUGGGGAUCUAAUGCACAGCAUACUGAUUAUAGUCAACAAUACUGUAUUAUAUACUGCAAAAUUGCUAAGAGAUUAGAUCUUAAAUAUUCUCACUACAAAAAAGAAAUGAUAAUUAUGUGAUGUGAUAGAGGUGUUAGCUAAAACACCUCUAUGGUGGUAAUCAUAUUGCAGUAUAUCAUGUAUAUAUCAAAAUCAACACAUUAUACACCUUAAACUUAUACAGUGUUACAUGUCAAUUAUAUUGUAACUAGAGGCCCAAUGCAUGAAAUUUGUGCAAGGGGGUUGGCCCUCGUAGCCCCGGCUUUGUCCGGAAGGACAUCUGGAAGGUCGUUCGGAUGUCUGGUCUAAUUAGCAUAUUACGCUUUUAUUAUUAUAGAUAAAAAUAUAUAAUAAUUUGUUUUCACCUGCUGAUGGACAUUUCAGUUAUUUCUAGUUUUGAGCUUUUCCAAAUAAAGCUGCUAUAAAUGUUUGUGUAGGAGUGAAUGGCUAGGUCUUAUGGUUUGUGUAUGUAUACUUUUUUAUUAAGAUAUAAUUGACAUGUCACAUUAUAUUAGUUUCAGGUGUACAACAUAAUGAUUCAAUGCUUGUAUAUAUUGUG